GCGCGUGCCCUGAGUGUGUGGAGGAUAACGGGCAGCGUGGGGGAGGGGCGCGCUGAGGUGCGGGGCGGCGGGGCCCGGGAGCCCUGCGGAGGGGCAGUAGGUUUACGGUCAGGUGCCGUGAGGGGCAGGGAUCCGUCUCCACCUCCCCAACCCGGCGUACGGCCACGGCCAGUCACUCACCGCCAUGCAGCCUGCGGGGGCCGGUGCCGCUGACGGUUCCGGCCCGUUGGCCCCCACCCAGCGUUGUAGGGAGCCGCGGGCCGCCCUGGACCGGGUGCCGGCUGUGGAGCGUCCCUGGGACCAGGCGAGCCGCCCCGCCUCCGAGCACUCGAGACCGGCAUAAAAGUGAGAGCUAAUCGCACAGGCCAGAGCAGCAAUGUCUGAUGGAAAGCUAACCUGGAAGUAAUUUUGUUCUGAGAAAGUCAUCUCUACUGUCAUUCCAAAUCCUAUGGACUACUUAUGCCCCAUUUAAUUCUGAAGAUGGUGACCAGCUCCAAAGAAAACAGGUGAAUUGUUGAUCUACAUCCUCUAAAAUAAAGCUGAUUGUGCAUUAAAUGCCACAUCCUCAACCCAGCUAAAUGCACAGAUUGCUUCUACUAAAUUGUAAAGAAAGUUCUCUAAUGCAAGUUA